UUUCAUUACAGACAUAAAGUUUGAGUUAUGAAAAAGGGAGGAAGAAAGAUGAAGGACAGACCGAGGAAUAUGAGGAAGGUGUUAGUAUGGUGCACUUGUAUGUUCAAAAAUGCAGUUUGUCGACAAUGUACAAAGAAAAAGUACAUGAAUACAAAAUAACUUCCUCCUUCCCUCGACAAUGUCAUACACAGUCUUUUGUCAAUAAGUGACAUAUAUUCUCAAACAAAUAAAUGUUCACAUUGGAUAUGUCAUAAUAUUCUCAGUUCACUUUAGUAUAAAGGUAGAGAGUCUUUGAGGAGGGACAAGGUAGAGGUGGGGGAAAGUGCUAUUACCCCACAUGUCCAGAAGGGGGUUCUGUGACUUUUUCAUUGACAAUUUAACUCUCAGUUUUAGGAUCCCAAUACAGACGUGUUUGAUGGCUCAACAGCAGCAGGGGUCAGAGAUGGUGCUAAAGGUGUUAACAACAACCCUCCCACAGAAACUGCUGAGAUGCUAACAGAAAGACGCGCUCGCUCUGAGCCGGGAUUUCCUCUGGAACCACCAGGA